AGUCGAGGGGCAGCGAGUAGAUUGCUUGCAAUCUACGUCGGCGACCGGCGCACGGGUGCGUAACGCGUAUGCAACCUACCCAUUACAGGGGGAUAACACUGAGAAAUCGGUACUAAUACCCCAUAACAUCCAGGGAGGCAUCUUCUUGGGUUGAAAACUCCGGUGGUAAUGGAUGGGCAUGCGUUGUAUUAGUUAGUUGGCGGGGUAACGGCUCACCAAGACGACGAUACAUAGGGGGACUGAGAGGUUAACCCCCCACAUUGGUACUGAGACACGGACCAAACUCCUACGGGAGGCAGCAGUGAGGAAUAUUGGUCAAUGGACGCAAGUCUGAACCAGCCAUGCCGCGUGCAGGAAGACGGCUCUAUGAGUUGUAAACUGCUUUUGUACGAGGGUAAACGCAGAUACGUGUAUCUGUCUGAGAGUACCGCACGAAUAAGCAUCGGCUAACUCCGUGCCAGCAGCCGCGGUAAUACGGGGGAUGCGAGCGUUAUCCGGAUUUAUUGGGUUUAAAGGGUGCGUAGGCGGCGCUUCAGGUCAGCGGUGAAAUACCGGGGCUCAACCCCGGGGCUGCCGUUGAAACCGGAGCGCUAGAAUUCCGAUGCCGUCGGAGGAAUGUGUGGUGUAGCGGUGAAAUGCAUAGAUAUCACACAGAACACCGAUUGCGAAGGCAUCUGACGAAUCGGAGAUUGACGCUGAUGCACGAAAGCGUGGGUAUCGAACAGGAUUAGAUACCCUGGUAGU
rnacentral:rRNA from 1 species